CCCUAAUUCAUCCCAGGAGGAAAAGGCAGCUUCCUGUAGCCCUAAGCUGAAUCUUGAAGUUCAAGAAGUGAAAGAGUGAACCAAGAACAUCCCAGACAUAGGGAACUGUAUGUGAGCAGGAUCCUUUACUAAAAAGGAAACAGCCCUGCCCAAGGAUCUGGGCUCAAAUUCAAGAUCAGCUGAUUCAACACAGCAUCCCUGUAGAAAAAGCUGGCAGAGUAAAAGCUUCAAUUCCUUCCCAUGGCAGCCCACCAAAACUGGCUUCAAAGAUCCUCUGCUUAUGCUGCAGGGACUGUGAAGAGCCCCAAGUCAUCGAUGACUCCAAGGUUCCCAGUUAAACCCAAGAGAACCAGCCAUUGAGCCACAUUCUGGAUGCAGAAGCUUCCCCCGGAGGAUUUUAUAAGAGGAACUUAAACCACUUAAACCGCUGCUCCCAGGAGCGCUGGCCCUUCCAGCCCUGCUCAUGCAGUGACCCUGAGCAUUCUAGUCAGUGGCGCCUGCACAGGUCUCUGGCUGCACAGCUGCGGAAGGUCUCCACAAGCAAGAGGGCAGCGGGCAGGAGUCAUGAAGACUGAUUCAGAAACUGUCCACUGGAGGAGAAGACGUCAGAGCCAUUCCUGUGUCCGCUGGCCCUCAGCUCCUGACACAGCCAGG
rnacentral:lncRNA from 1 species